UACGUAGGGGGCAAGCGUUGUCCGGAAUCAUUGGGCGUAAAGAGCGCGUAGGCGGUCCGGUAAGUCCGCUCUGAAAGUCCGGGGCUCAACCCCGGGAGGCGGGCGGAUACUGUCGGGCUAGAGUCCGGAAGAGGCGAGUGGAAUUCCUGGUGUAGCGGUGAAAUGCGUAGAUAUCGGAAGGAACACCUGUGGCGAAAGCGGCUCACUGGACCAUUACUGACGCUGAUGCACGAAAGCUAGGGGAGCAAACAGG
rnacentral:rRNA from 1 species